rnacentral:rRNA from 1 species
AGAAUCAACGCUGGCGGCGUGCCUAACACAUGCAAGUCGAACGCGAAAGCCCCGCAAGGGGUGAGUAGAGUGGCAAACGGGUGAGUAACACGUGGGUGAUCUGCCUCAGAGUGGGGGAUAACGACCCGAAAGGGUCGCUAAUACCGCAUAACAUCCUGCGCUUGGAUGCGUGGAGAUCAAAGUUGGGGAUCCGCAAGGACCUGACGCUUGGAGAGGAGCCCGCGGCCGAUUAGCUAGUUGGUGAGGUAACGGCUCACCAAGGCAACGAUCGGUA